UACAGAGGGUGCGAACGUUUGUCCGGAAUCACUGGGCGUAAAGGGCGCGUAGGUGGCGAUCCAAGUCCAUGGUGAAAAGCUCGAUGCUCAACAUCGAGUCGGCCACGGAUACUGGGUUGCUUGAGCACUGUAGGGGCAGAUGGAAUUCCGGGUGUAGCGGUGGAAUGCGUAGAGAUCCGGAAGAACACCGGUGGCGAAGGCGGUCUGCUGGGCAGUUGCUGACACUGAGGCGCGACAGCGUGGGGAGCAAACAGGG
rnacentral:rRNA from 1 species